rnacentral:rRNA from 1 species
GGACUGGUGAGUAACGCGUGGGCGACCUGCCCCGGGGAUGGGGACAGCCGUUGGAAACAGCGGGUAAUACCGAAUACGUUCACUAUGCUGCGGCAUGGUGAGGAAAGGGGCUACGGCCCCGCCCCGGGAUGGGCCCGCGUCCCAUUAGCUAGUUGGCGGGGUAACAGCCCACCAAGGCGAAGAUGGGUAGCCGGCCUGAGAGGGCGAACGGCCACACUGGGACUGAGAUACGGCCCAGACUCCUACGGGAGGCAGCAGCUAAGAAUAUUCCGCAAUGGACGAAAGUCUGACGGAGCGACGCCGCGUGGAUGAGGAAGGCCGAAAGGUUGUAAAAUCCUUUUGCAGGCGCAGAAGAAGGCGGGGAGGGAAUGCCCCGCCGGUGACAAAGGUCUGUGAAUAAGCCCCGGCUAAUUACGUGCCAGCAGCCGCGGUAACACGUAAGGGGCGAGCGUUGUUCGGAAUUAUUGGGCGUAAAGGGCGCGUAGGCGGCCUGGCAAGUCCGGCGUGAAAUAUCGGGGCUUAACCCCGGGGCUGCGCUGGAAACUGCCUGGCUUGAGUCACGGAGGGGCAGCCGGAAUUCCUGGUGGAGGGGUGAAAUCUGUAGAUAUCAGGAAGAACACCGGUGGCGAAGGCGGGCUGCCAGCCGAUGACUGACGCUGAGGCGCGAAAGUGCGGGGAGCAAACAGGAUUAGAUACCCUGGUAGUCCGCACUGUAAACGAUGUGCACUAGGUGUCGGGGCGAGCGUCUCGGCGCCGGAGCGAACGCGAUAGGUGCACCGCCUGGGGAGUAUGCCCGCAAGGGUGAAACUCAAAGGAAUUGACGGA